GACGAACGCUGGCGGCGUGCCUAAUACAUGCAAGUAGAACGCUGAAGGAGGAGCUUGCUUCUCUGGAUGAGUUGCGAACGGGUGAGUAACGCGUAGGUAACCUGCCUGGUAGCGGGGGAUAACUAUUGGAAACGAUAGCUAAUACCGCAUAAGAGUAGAUGUUGCAUGACAUUUGCUUAAAAGGUGCAAUUGCAUCACUACCAGAUGGACCUGCGUUGUAUUAGCUAGUUGGUGGGGUAACGGCUCACCAAGGCGACGAUAUAUAGCCGACCUGAGAGGGUGAUCGGCCACACUGGGACUGAGACACGGCCCAGACUCCUACGGGAGGCAGCAGUAGGGAAUCUUCGGCAAUGGACGGAAGUCUGACCGAGCAACGCCGCGUGAGUGAAGAAGGUUUUCGGAUCGUAAAGCUCUGUUGUAAGAGAAGAACGAGUGUGAGAGUGGAAAGUUCACACUGUGACGGUAUCUUACCAGAAAGGGACGGCUAACUACGUGCCAGCAGCCGCGGUAAUACGUAGGUGGCAAGCGUUAUCCGGAUUUAUUGGGCGUAAAGAGAGUGCAGGCGGUUUUCUAAGUCUGAUGUGAAAGCCUUCGGCUUAACCGGAGAAGUGCAUCGGAAACUGGAUAACUUGAGUGCAGAAGAGGGUAGUGGAACUCCAUGUGUAGCGGUGGAAUGCGUAGAUAUAUGGAAGAACACCAGUGGCGAAAGCGGCUACCUGGUCUGCAACUGACGCUGAGACUCGAAAGCAUGGGUAGCGAACAGG
rnacentral:rRNA from 1 species